rnacentral:rRNA from 1 species
CCUACGGGAGGCAGCAGUGGGGAAUCUUGUGCAAUGGACGAAAGUCUGACACAGCCACGCCGCGUGCGGGAAGAAGGCCUUCGGGUUGUAAACCGCUUUCAGCAGGAACGAAAAUGACGGUACCUGCAGAAGAAGAUGCGGCCAACUACGUGCCAGCAGCCGCGGUGAUACGUAGGCAUCAAGCGUUGUCCGGAUUUAUUGGGCGUAAAGAGCUCGUAGGCGGUUCAGCAAGUCGGGUGUGAAAACUCUGGGCUUAACCCAGAGCCUGCACUCGAAACUGCUGUGACUAGAGUUCGGUAGGGGAGCAGGGAAUUCCUAGUGUAGCGGUGAAAUGCGCAGAUAUUAGGAGGAACACCAAUGGCGAAGGCACUGCUCUGGGCCGAUACUGACGCUGAGGAGCGAGAGCGUGGGUAGCAAACAGGAUUAGAUACCCUGGUAGUCCACGCCGUAAACGAUGGGCACUAGGUGUGGGUCUCUAACCAACGAGAUCUGCGCCGUCGCUAACGCAUUAAGUGCCCCGCCUGGGGAGUACGGUCGCAAGCUAAAACUCAAAGGAUUGACGGCUGNGAGNGCGAGACGACGACGAGGGAGAGG